CCAGACGGCUGGGCGGUCGCGGCGGGACUUGAUCUCGUCGAGGAAAGUCCGGGCUCCACGGUGAAAAGGCGGCGGAUAACUUCCGCCCGGGGCGACCCGAGGGAUAGCGCCACAGAAAGCAAACCUCCGGCCUCGCGAGACCGGUAAGGGUGAAAGGGUGGGGUAAGAGCCCACCGCGUGCCUGGCAACAGGGACGGCAUGGCAAGCCCCGCCUGGAGCAAGACCAAAUAGGGACAUCGCGCGGGGUUCGCCUCGCGGGGCUCACCGCCUCAGAUGUCCGGGUAGGUCGCGAGAACCGUUCAGCAAUGGACGGUCCAGAGGAAUGAUCGUCGUCGUUCCGGGUUUCGGCCCGGGGCGGAACAAAACCCGGCUUACAGGCCGUCUGGCAUU
rfam:Caulobacterales bacterium GWE1_67_11 gwe1_scaffold_2810, whole genome shotgun sequence.